UUUCCGUAGGUGAACCUGCGGAAGGAUCAUUAUCGUAAAACCGAGGUGCGAGGGCUGUCGCUGACCUUUUCGGUCGUGCACGCCCGAGCGCUCUCACACAAUCCAUCUCACCCCGUGUGCACUACCGCGUGGGUCCCUUUCUGGCUCGUCCGGAGGGGGGCUCGCGUUUUCACACAAGCUUGAAGUAGUGUAGAAUGUCCUUUUUUUGCGAUAACACGCAAUCAAUACAACUUUCAACAACGGAUCUCUUGGCUCUC
rnacentral:misc_RNA from 1 species